rnacentral:tRNA from 1 species
GCCCAAGUAGCUCAGUUGGUAGAGCAGCGGACUGAAAAUCCGCGUGUCGGUGGUUCAAAUCCGCCCUUGGGCACCA